CCUACGGGGGGCAGCAGUGGGGAAUAUUGGACAAUGGGGGCAACCCUGAUCCAGCCAUGCCGCGUGUGUGAAGAAGGCCCUCGGGUUGUAAAGCACUUUCAGUGAGGAAGAACGCCUGGUGGUUAAUACCCAUCAGGAAAGACAUCACUCACAGAAGAAGCACCGGCUAACUCCGUGCCAGCAGCCGCGGUAAUACGGAGGGUGCGAGCGUUAAUCGGAAUUACUGGGCGUAAAGCGCGCGUAGGUGGCUUGAUAAGCCGGUUGUGAAAGCCCCGGGCUCAACCUGGGAACGGCAUCCGGAACUGUCAAGCUAGAGUGCAGGAGAGGAAGGUAGAAUUCCCGGUGUAGCGGUGAAAUGCGUAGAGAUCGGGAGGAAUAACAGUGGCGAAGGCGGCCUUCUGGACUGACACUGACACUGAGGUGCGAAAGCGUGGGUAGCAAACAGGAUUAGAUACCCCAGUAGUC
rnacentral:rRNA from 1 species